GACGAACGCUGGCGGCGUGCCUAAUACAUGCAAGUUGAGCGCUGAAGGUUGGUACUUGUACCAACUGGAUGAGCAGCGAACGGGUGAGUAACGCGUGGGGAAUCUGCCUUUGAGCGGGGGACAACAUUUGGAAACGAAUGCUAAUACCGCAUAAAAACUUUAAACACAAGUUUUAAGUUUGAAAGAUGCAAUUGCAUCACUCAAAGAUGACCCCGCGUUGUAUUAGCUAGUUGGUGAGGUAAAGGCUCACCAAGGCGAUGAUACAUAGCCGACCUGAGAGGGUGAUCGGCCACAUUGGGACUGAGACACGGCCCAAACUCCUACGGGAGGCAGCAGUAGGGAAUCUUCGGCAAUGGACGAAAGUCUGACCGAGCAACGCCGCGUGAGUGAAGAAGGUUUUCGGGUCGUAAAACUCUGUUGGUAGAGAAGAACGUUGGUGAGAGUGGAAAGCUCAUCAAGUGACGGUAACUACCCAGAAAGGGACGGCUAACUACGUG
rnacentral:rRNA from 1 species